rnacentral:rRNA from 1 species
UUUGCCUACGGGAGGCAGCAGUGGGGAAUAUUGCGCAAUGGGGGCAACCCUGACGCAGCAACGCCGCGUGAUUGAAGAAGGCCUUCGGGUUGUAAAGAUCUUUAAUCAGGGACGAAAAAUGACGGUACCUGAAGAAUAAGCUCCGGCUAACUACGUGCCAGCAGCCGCGGUAAUACGUAGGGAGCAAGCGUUAUCCGGAUUUACUGGGUGUAAAGGGCGUGUUGGCGGGCCUGUAAGUCAGAAGUGAAAUCUGGGGGCUUAACCCCAAAACGGCUUUGGAA